UACGUAGGGUGCGAGCGUUGUCCGGAAUUACUGGGCGUAAAGAGCUCGUAGGUGGUUUGUCGCGUUGUCCGUGAAAACUCACAACUCAAUUGUGGGCGUGCGGGCGAUACGGGCAGACUGGAGUACUGCAGGGGAGACUGGAAUUCCUGGUGUAGCGGUGGAAUGCGCAGAUAUCGGGAGGAACACCAGUGGCGAAGGCGGUGCUCUGGGCCGGAACUGACGCUGAGGAGCGAAAGCGUGGGUAGCAAACAGG
rnacentral:rRNA from 1 species